GCAGUUCAUUAUAGUGGUUAGGGAGCUGGGCCUCCAACUCAGAAGUUGUGGGUUCGAUUCCCAGUUAAGGGCC